rnacentral:rRNA from 1 species
CCUACGGGCGGCAGCAGUGGGGAAUAUUGGGCAAUGGAGGCAACUCUGACCCAGCAAAGCCGCGUGAAUGAUGAAGGUCUUAGGAUUGUAAAGUUCUGUGAUGGGGGAUGAACACAAUGACGGUACCCCAAUAGCAAGCCACGGCUAACUACGUGCCAGCAGCCGCGGUAUUACGGAGGCGGCAGGGGUUAUCCGGAUGCAAGGGGUGUAAGGGGUGCGUGGGGGGUUAAGUAAGUUGGGGGGGUAUUUCCGGGGCUCAACCUCGGCGCUACCGCAAAAACUAUUGGACUAGAGUGAAGGGGGGGUAGGUGGAAUGCCUGGUGUAGCGGUGGAAUGCGUAGAUAUUAGGAAGAACAUCGGGUGCGAAGGCGACUUACUGGACUGUAACUGACACUGAGGCACGAAAGCGUGGGGAGCAAACAGGAUUAGAUACCCGGGUAGUC